rnacentral:rRNA from 1 species
CCUACGGGAGGCAGCAGUGAGGAAUAUUGGUCAAUGGGCGGAAGCCUGAACCAGCCAAGUAGCGUGCAGGAUGACGGCCCUACGGGUUGUAAACUGCUUUUAUACGGGAAUAACGCGCCUUACGUGUAGGGCUUUGCAUGUACCGUAUGAAUAAGGACCGGCUAAUUCCGUGCCAGCAGCCGCGGUAAUACGGAAGGUCCGGGCGUUACCCGGAUUUAUUGGGUUUAAAGGGAGCGUAGGCCGCAUGUCAAGCGUGCUGUGAAAUGUCCGGGCUCAACCCGGGCCUUGCAGCGCGAACUGGCGUGCUUGAGUCCGCGGAAGGCAGGCGGAAUUCGUCGUGUAGCGGUGGAAUGCUUAGAUAUGUCGAAGAACCCCGAUUGCGAAGGCAGCAUACCGGCGCGCAACUGACGCUCAUGCACGAAAGCGUGGGUAUCGAACAGGAUUAGAUACCCUUGUAGUC